UUCCAGACUCCUACGGGAGGCAGCAGUGAGGAAUAUUGGUCAAUGGGCGAGAGCCUGAACCAGCCAAGUCGCGUGAAGGAUGACGGCCCUACGGGUUGUAAACUUCUUUUGUCAGGGAGCAAUUGGGUCCACGCGUGGGCUUAGCGAGAGUACCUGAAGAAAAAGCAUCGGCUAACUCCGUGCCAGCAGCCGCGGUAAUACGGAGGAUGCGAGCGUUAUCCGGAUUUAUUGGGUUUAAAGGGUGCGUAGGCGGGACGGUAAGUCAGCGGUAAAAAUGCGGAGCUCAACUCCGUCGAGCCGUUGAAACUGCCGUUCUUGAGUGAGCGAGAAGUAUGCGGAAUGCGUGGUGUAGCGGUGAAAUGCAUAGAUAUCACGCAGAACUCCGAUUGCGAAGGCAGCAUACCGGCGCUCAACUGACGCUGAAGCACGAAGGCGUGGGUAUCGAACAGGAUUAGAUACCCUAGUAUG
rnacentral:rRNA from 1 species